rnacentral:rRNA from 1 species
GGGCCCGCACAAGCGGUGGAGUACCUGUGGUUUAAUUCGAUGCAACGCGAAGAACCUUACCAGGGUUUGACAUCCUGCGAAUCUCUUGGAAACAGGAGAGUGCCUUCGGGAACGCAGUGACAGGUGCUGCAUGGUUGUCGUCAGCUCGUGCCGUGAGGUGUCAGGUUAAGUCCUAUAACGAGCGCAACCCCUAUCGUUAGUUGCCAGCGGGUCAUGCCGGGAACUCUAGCGAAACUGCCGGUGCAAACCGAGAGGAAGGUGGGGACGACGUCAAGUCAUCAUGGCCCUUACGACCAGGGCUACACACGUGCUACAAUGGUAGGUACAGAGGGCAGCUACACAGCGAUGUGAUGCGAAUCUCAAAAAGCCUAUCGUAGUCCAGAUUGGAGUCUGCAACUCGACUCCAUGAAGUAGGAAUCGCUAGUAAUCG